GCCGAGAUAUUACAAUGGGUAGUAUGCCUCAUUCGGAAUGUGGCGAUCUGAGUUCGAUUCUCAGUCUUGGCC